rnacentral:rRNA from 1 species
AGCGAACGCUGGCGGCAGGCCUAACACAUGCAAGUCGAACGAACUCUCCGGAGUUAGUGGCGGACGGGGGGGUAACACGUGGGAACGUGCCUUUUGGUUCGGAAUACUUCAGGGUAAGUUGUCCUAAUACCAAUUGUGCUCUUCCGGGGUAAGAUCUACCGCCAUUUGAGCGGCGCGGGUCUGAUUCGGUAGUUGGUGAGGUAACGGCGCACCAAGGCGACGUUCAGUAGCUGGUGUGAGAGGAAGCCCAGCCAGACUGGAACUGAGACACGGCCCAGACUCCUACGGGAGGCAGCAGUGGGGAAUCUUGCGCAAGGGGCGAAAGCGUGACGCAGCCAUGCCGCGUGAAUGAUGAAGGUCUUAGGAUUGUAAAAUUCUUUCACCGGGGACGAUAAUGACGGUACCCGGAGAAGAAGCCCCGGCUAACUUCGUG